CUAAAGUGUCAAACUGGAUUUUCAAAAGUGUUUAAUUGCAGUUGGAGUUAAAAGAUGUAUCUUCAAAGGAACCUGUGAAGAGAAUUUUCCUUUAAAUCAGUGAAAAUCAGAAAAUUAUUGGAAAUUCCAUAUAUCAUCCAUGCUUUCUAGGUACCUAAACACUAUCUUUGUACCUGAAUACUGCUACAAGUCUGUCCAACAGUCUUUUGUAAAGGUUCUCCUUUUACCCUGCCAUAUUGAUGUUUUCCACAGAUUUUGCCAGAAAACAACUCCAAAGGUGUAUAAACUCCUCAAGAUUAUUUUUAAUUUCAAAGACGCAUUUUCUGUGACAGCAUGAAGUAUUUAAUCAUAUUUUUGAGCAGAGGGAUUGUGAAAGAUCAAAAAGAGGACAUCAACAGGUUGAAAGGGGUUAUUCCUGCUCAGCAUGACAAUGGGUGUGCACACAUAACACAUGUAGAUCAAAAGCUCAUUCUGACUUUUCUGGGACUUUACAUAAUAUUUUGCAUUACAAUAAAAACCAGUCUGUGUUUAUUCAGAAUCAAACCAGUAGAACAAAUAAAAUACCUCCUUUCAUGUGCUGCAAUCCUUCAUUUGACAUUUCUGCUCGUAUCUGUAGGACUAAAAAACUCCAUGAGGGAUUCCUCCUAAGAAAUGUGGUAAAUUAUAAGAUGCUAGAUAGCAGAAGAACAGCUAUGCAGCAAAGCCUAUCAGUUCUCAUGGUUUUAACCAUAAGCUAAUUAGGUUUGACUGUGAAGAACAUUGAACAGCACUGUUUCUGAAGAGAAGCCUGUCCAGUCUCUGUAAAGAGCUUGAUAAAUAUAGGUUACUUCAUCCAUUCACCCUACUUUGUUUCUGACAUUGCUAAUCCUGUUGCUGUAGCUAUGUAGUAUAUUUUCAAUUAGCUUUGUAAAGAGUAAUCUGUCAUCUCUUCUGUGGACAGGCUUGAGAGUUUGGACUUAGUUUCUUCCUAGAAAAAUUAAUUACUGUGAUAAACCCCCAGACAGCAAUUGUCUUUCCUGGGAGACCUUAAGCCUUCAUUAUCUCUAAGAGUGGGUUACACCAAUUGCUGUUUUCUUGCUAACUGCUUACUGUUGCUUGUCUGUGUUCCAAAAUAUUAGUGGCAUAACAGCAUAUUUUAUUUAUUUUCUUAGGGGAAGAGCUAGUUUUGAUACUCUAGCAGAUAUAUGCAUCUCCUGGUUGUGUAUCACUAGGAAGACUUGUCCACAAAAGAAUUAAAAGUGUGUUUUAGUAGUGGCUGUAGCAGAAAAGUACUGACUUGCCCAGUUCCCUGAGUACAGCAUCUUGUGGCUAACUUUCAGAGUUUUGCUGGUACUCAGACAUGAAGGAUGGCAGUCACGCAGGUCAGAGGUAGAAUCUUAAGUGUGGCAGAGCAGGAACUGCAAAUAGCAAUAAAACCAUUCAAAAUUGGCAUAUAAUAGAUUUACUUAGUCAAAAUUUAAUUUUAAAAAUGCUGAUGUGUAGAAGUAAUAGAAGGACCAGGAUUCAGAAGGAUUUGAGGUAUGAUUUAAAAUUACUAAACAAUAUUUUUAUUUUUAUUAAAUUAAAGCUGAAGUUUAUGUUGCUGCUUGAUGGCUAUUUACACUGUUAAUCUAUCACCACUAAAACUCUCAACUUUCUGCUUUCCUGUAUUAUGUUGAACAUAAGGGUGUGAAAUUGACCCUCCUUCCAUGUACCUUCUCACUCCAAAUUUUUUUCUAGGGAGGCUUAAAAUCAAUCAAAUUCUUAUGUGUCUUAAACUCAAAAGAGUGACCAAAUGCUUUAGACCGUAAGAAGAAGCAGCACUAACUAGUUGAGUUACAAGAACUAGUUUCUGGGUACGUGAUUCAGAUGAAAAGGGAUAGGGAUAUUUUUAAGCCUAGCUCACAUGUAAGUUCCAGAAGCUGCAAACUGUUCCUCAUUAAGUAAUUGAAAAAUAGAGGGAGGGAAGAGAAGGAAGUUCUGCCUAAAUAAAUACUGCAAGAGUAAAUAAAAUAAGAAAGUUUACAAAAAUGUUAUCUCAUUGCUGGAAUUAAAGCAGAUGGAAUUGAGAUUCCCAAUAAAUCAUAAUCCUGUAGCUGUUGGAGAAUCUAGUAGACUGAGAAAACAGGUUUCAGGAGGCAACCUCACUGUUUUCUGUAACGUGCUCAGACAGAGCACAGAGGAGCCAACUGCUGCAAAAGUCAUUCCAAAAGACUUGUGCUGAUGCCAUCACGUUGUAACUCUUUAAAGUGCUAGUGGCUCCAAUUAAGAGAACAGAAAAUGCAUGUUUCUUUUUUUAAGGGUGGACUAGUGAAUAUGUGUCCUUGCAACUGAGAAGCUUGACAUGUAAUGAGGUCUAGAAGUCCUCUGCUUUUUGUGCACAGUUCAGUUCUAUAUAACUGACACAUUAUUUAGGGAAAAUACAAAAGAAAACUGAGUGUCUGAAUUCUGUUGUUUACAACUAACAUCACUAACAUUUCUGGGUUUUUUCCUUUCUUUUUCUUCCUUUCUCUCUUUAGUUAUGACUUGUGUUAUAGCUUAGUAGCAAAAGUCAACACUUCGUUGCAAUUACUUCAGUAAGAAAACUCGCAUAUUUUCUAUUUUUUUUCAUCAUUCUGCCUUUUUAUCUGUACAGAAGUGAUUAGUGUAUCACUGAAAAUAUUUUUAUUUCUCCAUAUAAUUAUAAUAGAUAAACAAUUCUUUUUUAUCCUUUCUGACAUACAAAGCUUUUGCUUGGGCUGGAAAGUAAUUAUCCGUAAUGGAUUUUUUUAAAGGUAGUUUAUUCUGCUAGAACUAUUAAAAAAUUUGUUAAUUAAAUUCUUUGCAUUCCUGUGUUCCUUCUAACUCAAAACAACCUGAAGUUAUUACCGUUUAGAGCAGGUUUGAAGAUUUCUGUAGAGCUCUAUUAUCCUAUUAAGCCUUCUACUAAUAAAUCAUUUGGAAAAAAUGGGGAUGGAGGCAGGGAGUAAUGAUUAAAAAUAAUAAUGAGGGAGCAAGAAAUUUAAGAUUUAUAUGUCUAAGUAUUUCUGCAUCAGACAAGGUGUGGAAAUGUCCACUCAUUAUUUCAGCAAAAACUAGUUUGGAAGUCCUUGUUUUGGAGUAGGUAUUUUGAUCGAUUUCCAGCAAACAAUUGACUUAAAUGUGAGAGAGUGCUCAGUUGCAUUUUAGGAGCAUUGAACAUAUUCCCCUCAUUUUCGCCAUAAUGAAGGGAAUAUGUGCAAUAGAUACUUAAAAUGGCCUGCUAUAUCUGCAUAGUUCAAAAAUGAGAUCAAGCAUAUGGGGCACAGAAAUGCCACAGAGGAGACACAUAAAUGGCUCAAGAUUCAACAUAAAAAUAUUAUUCCCCUGAAUGUACAUUUCUAAUAUGAGAAUCUUGCAUACUCCUCUGUAAUCAUAAUAUGAACCACCACUUUGUUAAAGUAAUAUUUUUUUCAUGCCUUUGGGUCAGCUAGAGCUCACCCAAUAUGCCUGGUAAGGAAAUAAAAUGGGAUACAAAUUUGUGUUUCAAUGUGUAGAUAUUAUGCUUCUUUGUAUAAAAAAUUAAUGCACUUUUUAUUAAAUAAAAAUAGAGACAGGGUUACAAAAAGCUUGAAUCAUUCUUAAAAAUGGGGAAUAGAACAUAGUUCAUUCUCCAAAAAAUGCUUUUAUCACUGGGUCAGGGAAUCGAUUGUCCUCAUGAGUGUUCAUUUUUCCUCUGAUUCCAGUUAAUCCUCUAAUAUGCCAAGCAGAGAUGAACAAAUGCUUUAUCUAUUUUUAAAAAUAUAUUAUAGCUUAAUGUUUUUAGACUGACCUUAUGGAGUCAAAAAUGUGAAUUUAAUUCCAGUCAAGAGCAGAAAAAAUUUGGAUGCAGGUAUACAAUUGCCUAUUUAAAUCUCAUAACUGUUGAACUGUUGACUAAAAUCACUUGGCCUUGAUUUGAAGGGAACACUUGACCUGUUCUUUUGUCAGAGGAGACUUGGGCUGCACCCUUCAUGGGAGGCCUUUAAUUUAAGGGCUGAGUGAAGUGCAGAGUCUUUGCAGCUCAGAGACACUCAGAGAGGAGGAGGAUUUGUGCAUUUCCAUUAGCCAAGAAGGUUAACUUGGACCUCCCUUGUGCACCUCAGCUUCUCCUGUCAAAUGGAUGCAACAGGGGUUGGUAGGAUUCUGACCACACAGCAAAACAGGUGGGGAAGAGAGGGCAUUUUCUGCCUUUUCUCCUCUGCAGGAAAGGCAGAGUGAAGUCAUCGUGGCACAAACAUUAUCAGGCUCCAGCUCAAGCCAUGAGCUGGACCAUAUUAGAGCAUGUUUUUCAGCUCUUGCUCACUCUAUUGACUAUGCAGGAUUUUUUUUUUUUUUUUUCUGAAAUACAUGAUUCUUCUUCUCUAUUGUAUAAGCUGUGUAGCUCAGGGCUCUUGAUUUGUUCCUGCAUCUCAUUUCCUUUCUAGAUUUAAAUUUUAGUUUUCUUCAGAAGCUGUGGGAGUUGGACUUUUAAGUGCAAUUGUUGGAUCAGCUGUGCAACAGUGUAUUACUGAUGAAAAGAAUAAAGCUGCCAUGAACACCUCUAAAGAGCAAGUAUUGCCCAUGGAAUCAUAGAAUGGAUUGAGUUGGAAAAGACCUUAAACAUCAUCUAAUUCCAACUUUCUGCCAUGGGAAGGGACAACUUCUACGACAACAGGUUGCUCAAAGCCCCAUCCAGCCAGGCCUUGGGCACUUCCAAGGGUGGGGCAUCCACUUCCAGAGCCUGCUCAGCUUCUCUGGUCAAUGUAAUUUCAAUGCUAUUCCUUCUGUGGUAUAUAAGGAGCAAACAAACAGAUAGUAAUUCUGCAUAAUUCAUGAGUCUAAUGGCAACCGUUAUGAUAUUACAGCAUGACAUGAUGUUACAACUCCAUAAUCUACUGAUACGAUUUAUCAUUUAGUCUUUACUAGCACUUUCUAUAUUUUUAUACUCUAGACAGUGGUCUAAAUGUAUAUACAAGUGAGAGAAAAGCCCAUAUAAUUUCUUCCCUUCCCUCAGAUUUUUGCAUUUUGAUUUUUUCAGAUGUGUCUUAUUUUUUUUUUUAAUUUCUUACUGUUAAUGAAGUCAGUUUUUGUCUCCUUUUCUUGGAAAUUUCUAAAUUUCUCUUAUAACUUCAAAUGUAACAUUUUCUUUAACCUUGUUUUAGCUCUGAGUGGGUUUGGAUGUUCAAGAAAUUGUAUUUUCCCACUUCAUGAUGUGCAUAAGUGAGCACAUAAUUGUCUGCACAAUUAUCUUGUGUCAUAAUGCAUAUGCUUAAAAAUAGAUAUCAGUAGCUGACAUAAAUAGAAAUACUCUACAUUGUCUUCUACAACACAGAGAAAUCUUUACACUAAAAUUUACUUGUAUGCUACCAUUUGGUAUUUUUUGGGGUUUUUUCCCCUAUACAAUGUUAUUCCACCAAAAAAAAAAAAAAAAAAAAAAA
rnacentral:lncRNA from 1 species